UACGGAGGGUGCAAGCGUUAUCCGGAUUUAUUGGGUUUAAAGGGUCCGUAGGCGGAUCUGUAAGUCAGUGGUGAAAUCUCACAGCUUAAUUGUGAAACUGCCAUUGAUACUGCAGGUCUUGAGUAAAGUAGAAGUGGCUGGAAUAAGUAGUGUAGCGGUGAAAUGCAUAGAUAUUACUUAGAACACCAAUUGCGAAGGCAGGUCACUAUGUUUUAACUGACGCUGAUGGACGAAAGCGUGGGGAGCGAACAGG
rnacentral:rRNA from 1 species